rnacentral:rRNA from 1 species
CCUACGGGUGGCAGCAGUGAGGAAUAUUGGUCAAUGGGCGGGAGCCUGAACCAGCCAAGCCGCGUGAGGGAAGAAGGUACAGCGUAUCGUAAACCUCUUUUGUCAGGGAACAAAGGCGGGGACUAGUCCCCGGAUGAGGGUACCUGAAGAAAAAGCAUGGGCUAACCCCGUGACAGCAGCCGCGGUAAUCCGGAGGAUGCGAGCGUUAUCCGGAUUUAGUGGGUUUAAAGGGUGUGCAGGCGGCCUGUUAAGUCAGCGGUAAAAGCCCGGGGCCAAACCCCGGAGAGCCGUUGAAACUGGGGGGCUGGAGUGGGAGAGAAGUACGCGGAAUGCGCGGUGUAGCGGUGAAAUGCUUAGAGAUCGCGCAGAACACCGAUUGCGAAGGCAGCGUACCGGAUCCAGACUGACGCUGAGGCACGAAAGCGUGGGUAUCGAACAGGAUUAGAUACCCUAGUAGUC